rnacentral:rRNA from 1 species
GUGGGGAAUCUUGCGCAAUGGGCGAAAGCCUGACGCAGCCAUGCCGCGUGAAUGAUGAAGGUCUUAGGAUUGUAAAAUUCUUUCACCGGGGACGAUAAUGACGGUACCCGGAGAAGAAGCCCCGGCUAACUUCGUGCCAGCAGCCGCGAUAAUACGAAGGGGGCUAGCGUUGCUCGGAAUUACUGGGCGUAAAGGGCGCGUAGGCGGACAGUUUAGUCAGAGGUGAAAGCCCAGGGCUCAAGCUUGGAAUUGCCUUUGGUACGUGCUGUCUUGAGUACGGGGAGGGGGAGUGGAACUCCGGGUGUAGAGGUGAAAUUCGUAGAUAUUCGGAAGAACACCAGUGGCGAAGGCGACUCACUGGCCCGUUACUGACGCUGAGGCGCGAAAGCGUGGGGAGCAAACAGGAUUAGAUACCCCAGUAGUCC